rnacentral:rRNA from 4 species
GGGUUGUGAGGUUAAGCGACUAAGCGUACACGGUGGAUGCCCUGGCAGUCAGAGGCGAUGAAGGGCGUGCUAAUCUGCGAUAAGCGCCGGUAAGGUGAUAUGAACCGUUAUAACCGGCGAUACCCGAAUGGGGAAACCCAGUGUGACUCGUCACACUAUCAUUAACUGAAUCCAUAGGUUAAUGAGGCGAACCGGGGGAACUGAAACAUCUAAGUACCCCGAGGAAAAGAAAUCAACCGAGAUUCCCCCAGUAGCGGCGAGCGAACGGGGAGGAGCCCAGAGCCUGAAUCAGCAUGUGUGUUAGUGGAAGCGUCUGGAAAGGCGCGCGAUACAGGGUGACAGCCCCGUACACAAAAGCGCAUGUGCUGUGAGCUCGAUGAGUAGGGCGGGACACGUGGUAUCCUGUCUGAAUAUGGGGGGACCAUCCUCCAAGGCUAAAUACUCCUGACUGACCGAUAGUGAACCAGUACCGUGAGGGAAAGGCGAAAAGAACCCCGGCGAGGGGAGUGAAAAAGAACCUGAAACCGUGUACGUACAAGCAGUGGGAGCACAGGUUUACCUGUGUGACUGCGUACCUUUUGUAUAAUGGGUCAGCGACUUAUAUUCUGUAGCAAGGUUAACCGAAUAGGGGAGCCGGAGGGAAACCGAGUCUUAACCGGGCGUUAAGUUGCAGGGUAUAGACCCGAAACCCGGUGAUCUAGCCAUGGGCAGGUUGAAGGUUGGGUAACACUAACUGGAGGACCGAACCGACUAAUGUUGAAAAAUUAGCGGAUGACCUGUGGCU